rnacentral:rRNA from 1 species
AACCUGGUUGAUGCCUGCCAGUAGUCAUAUGCGUUGUCUCAAAGAUUAAGCCAUGCAUGUCUAAGUACAAGCCUGAAUAAGGUGAAACCGCGAAUGGCUCAUUAAAUCACACCUAAUGUACCUGGAAGUUCCAUUACUUGGAUAACUGCGGUAAUUCUGGAGCUAAUACAUGCUAAAGAGCCCUGACUCACGGAGGGGCGCAUUUAUUAGAUCAAAACCAAACGCUUCGGCGUUCAUUGGUGAAUCUGAAUAACUUUUGCUGAUCGUAUGGCUCAACGCCGACGACGUUCCAGUCCAAGGUGUGCCCUAUCAACUUUCGACUGUGAUAUAGACGCUCACAGUGGUUUUGACGGGUAACGGGGAAUUAGGGUUCGAUUCCGGAGAGGGAGCCUGAGAAACGGCUACCACUUCUAAGGAAGGCAGCAGGCACGCAAAUUACCCAAUGGUCGAAGACCGAGGUAGUGACGAAAAAUAACGAUACCGGUCUCUUCCGAGGCCCGGUAAUCGGAAUGAGUACACUUUAAAUCCUUUAACGAGGAACAAUUGGAGGGCAAGUCUGGUGCCAGCAGCCGCGGUAAUUCCAGCUCCAAUAGC